ACCAGACUCCUACGGGAGGCAGCAGUGAGGAAUAUUGGUCAAUGGGCGAGAGCCUGAACCAGCCAAGUCGCGUGAGGGAUGACUGCCCUAUGGGUUGUAAACCUCUUUUGUAUGGGGGGAAUAAGCUUUACGAGUAGAGUGAUGACAGUACCAUACGAAUAAGCAUCGGCUAACUCCGUGCCAGCAGCCGCGGUAAUACGGAGGAUGCGAGCGUUAUCCGGAUUUAUUGGGUUUAAAGGGUGCGUAGGCGGGCUGUUAAGUCAGCGGUCAAAUGUCGGGGCCAAACCCCGGCCUGCCGUUGAAACUGGCGGCCUCGAGUGGGCGAGAAGUAUGCGGAAUGCGUGGUGUAGCGGUGAAAUGCAUAGAUAUCACGCAGAACUCCGAUUGCGAAGGCAGCAUACCGGCGCCCGACUGACGCUGAGGCACGAAAGCGUGGGUAUCGAACAGGAUUAGAUACCCUAGUA
rnacentral:rRNA from 1 species